rnacentral:rRNA from 1 species
UGGAGGCAAAACUCAAAAAAUAAGUCUCAGUUCGGAUUGAAGGCUGAAAUUCGCCUUCAUGAAGCCGGAAUUGCUAGUAAUGGCAGGUCAGCAUACUGCCGUGAAUACGUUCCCGGGCCUUGUACACGCCGCCCGUCACACCAUGAGAGUUGGGAAUACCCGAAGCCUGUGAGCUAACUUUUAGAGGCAGCAGUCGAAGGUAGAAUCAAUGAUUGGGGUGAAGUCGUAACAAGGUAUC